CCUACGGGAGGCAGCAGUGAGGAAUAUUGGUCAAUGGACGAGAGUCUGAACCAGCCAAGUAGCGUGAAGGAUGACUGCCCUAUGGGUUGUAAACUUCUUUUAUAUGGGAAUAAAAUGUUCCACGUGUGGGAUUUUGUAUGUACCAUAUGAAUAAGGAUCGGCUAACUCCGUGCCAGCAGCCUCGGUAAUACGGAGGAUCCGAGCGUUAUCCGGAUUUAUUGGGUUUAAAGGGAGCGUAGGUGGAUGUUUAAGUCAGUUGUGAAAGUUUGCGGCUCAACCGUAAAAUUGCAGUUGAAACUGGCAGGCUUGAGUACAGUAGAGGUGGGCGGAAUUCGUGGUGUAGCGGUGAAAUGCUUAGAUAUCAUGAAGAACACCGAUUGCGAAGGCAGCUCACUGGACUGCAACUGACACUGAGGCUCGAAAGUGUGGGUAUCAAACAGGAUUAGAUACCCCAGUAGUC
rnacentral:rRNA from 1 species